GAAUAAUAAUUAGCAUUAGCAAUAUGAUCAGGCAUCAACUGCAAUUUAAGCUCCAGAAAAUAAAAAAGAACAAAAAAAGAUAAAGCAUUUCAUUAAAAAGAAACCAAGAACAAGGAUAGACCCAUAAGACUUAACAAUCUUAAAGAAGUUCCAGUAACAAUUAACCCAAAAAUGAAAAUGACAUUAACAGCAUAGCCAUUAAAGCAAAGCCCAGUAAAAUACUACUCUAUUAAAUAAGCCCUAACAUGGAAAUAGGAAACAAACAGCCCCUUUACUCUUCCUCGGUAGCUGUCUCACCGCUCUUCUUGUUAUGCUUCCUGGCAUACCUCUGGUUCCUCAAAAACUUGGGAUCCAUCCCUUUGGUGGAGGUGUGACGGUGCCUCUUAGGCUUCUUGAUCCCAUUCUUAUGGGCCUUGUAAGACUGGUUGUGAGCAGUGUGAUUCUUUGACUUGGCCAUCUCUGAGAGCAAGGAGGAAGAGGCUGCAGCUCUGUCGCAAGAUGUUUAAGAUGGUCCGGGCAGAU
rnacentral:misc_RNA from 1 species